GCUNGAGAACGCCCAAUCUCAUCUGACCUUAGAAGCUAAGCAAGUUU
rnacentral:rRNA from 1 species